GCUGUUAAGGGUUCGUAGUUGAAUUCAGAGUUGCGAGAUUUUGCUGCUUCGGCAGCCUUUCUUCCCACUCUGUCAUAGACGGGGCCGGAGUCUGCGGAAGUGGACCUUCACUGGUUCGCGGUGCUGUUAAUCGAAGAGGUUAACAUUACACAUGCGACGCAUGUCUGGCCGCCCGUCGUUUCACUGUGAAGAAAACAGCGUGUUCAAAGCAGCCGCUUGCGGUUGAAUGACAAAGCUGGAAUGACAAAGCAUCGACCAGUUGGUCUGUCUUUUGUCGGUUUUUGCGAUCAAUUUGGGUAUUUGUUUACGAAGCCUUCCCUCACCGUUCUACCGGCGUGGGAACUUCGUCGAACACGGGUUAAUGGGGGUUGUCGGGGGAAAACGUAUCUGAGCGUGAGAGGUGAAAUUCUUAGCCGCUCGGGGACGAACUUAUGCGAAGGCAUUUUCCAAGUAUACCUUCAUCAAUCAAGAACUAAGUGUGGAGAUCGAAGAUGAUUAGAUACCAUUGUAGUCC
rnacentral:rRNA from 1 species